AUUGAACGCUGGCGGCAGGCCUAACACAUGCAAGUCGAACGAGUGGCGGACGGGUGAGUAAUGUCUGGGAAACUGCCCGAUGGAGGGGGAUAACUACUGGAAACGGUAGCUAAUACCGCAUACCAUCGGAUGUGCCCAGAUGGGAUUAGCUAGUAGGUGGGGUAACGGCUCACCUAGGCGACGAUCCCUAGCUGGUCUGAGAGGAUGACGCACCCAACUGGAACUGAGACACGGUCCAGACUCCUACGGAAGGCCGUGAUGGGAAAUAUUGGACAAUGGGUGCGAGCCUGAUGCAGCCAUGCCGAGUGUAUGAAGAAGGCCUUCGGAUUGUAAAGUACUUUCAGUCAGGAGGCGUUACUCGCAGAAGAAGCACCGGCUAACUACGUACCUGCAGCCGCGGUAAUUC
rnacentral:rRNA from 1 species